rnacentral:tRNA from 1 species
CAAUAAAUAGUUUAAUUAAAAUUUAGGUUUUGGGGACUUGGGAUAUAUUUUAUAAUAUUUUAUUGA